GGGGGAGUGGUGAAAUGGCAGACACGCAUGCCUUAGGAGCAUGUGCCCAAAAGGCGUGGAGGUUCGAAUCCUCUCUCCCCCACCA
rnacentral:tRNA from 2 species